UGGUAACCUCGCCCCCCGACAUUGCCGGAGUUGCAGUGCUCGCCGUCUGCGCCCCUGCCUGCUGACUGCUGCUGCAACAGGAACGGCGCGGCUAUUUCUCCAACCCACCCUUGCUCGCGCAGCACCUUCCCUACCGGCCCCGCCAUCUUCCGCCUACCUCCGGCUCCCCCAACAGUGGCGACCACCUCUGAGACUAAAUCUCGGCUUGGCAUCUUCCAGAUGAGCUGAAGGACAAGACAAUUUUGUAGUUUGCUUUUCGCGGAAAAGGGUGUUGAUAGGCAUCAGAAUGGGUAUUGCUAAGCAUGGAUGAUUUGUGCAAGCCUUCAUCACUCAUGGUUAAUCUAGCUAGGAACUCCUUGAAAGUAACAGCUCCCUAUGUAUACCCGGUAGGACCGGCGAAAAAGGUUGCACGGAGGAGGCAUGUUGUUUGACUGGAGCUGGAGGUAGGAGGAUAUCCGUUUCCUCGUGCGGGCGAUUCGUUUCAUCUUUCCUGGCUCUGGCUGCACCGGCACCUGCACGUACGAGGAGCUAGGUUAGCCGCAUGUAUGAGGAGUUUGUUUGGUUCGCAGCUCUGAUUAGCAACCUCAACUUUAUUGGAUGUCCCCGAAGGGACAACCUCAACUUUGUUUAUGAUUAACCUACUAGGCCUUGAAGACAAUUCAGACAAUUUACAAAAUAGCCCAUUUUUAACUGUCUGAAAUGACUUACAAAAAUGAACGGAAGGAGUAUUUGUUUUCUUAAACAGAAGUAGAACAAUUGUUCUAUGGUAUUUUUAUUAAUCAUAAAUUAUUUACAUAGUACAAAUUAAAGUA